rnacentral:rRNA from 1 species
UACAGAGGGUGCAAGCGUUAAUCGGAAUUACUGGGCGUAAAGCGUGCGUAGACGGUAGCGUAAGUCGGGUGUGAAAGCCCCGGGCUCAACCUGGGAACUGCAUUUGAGACUGGAGGACUUGAGGACGGGAGAGGAGAGUGGAAUUCCCAGUGUAGAGGUGAAAUUCGUAGAUAUUGGGAAGAACACCAUGGCGAGGAGAGCUCGUCUGGACAGUUAUGACGCUGAGGCUGCGAAAGCGUGGGGAGCAAACA